GCGCUGUUGGUGUACCGGUAACAUGGCUGCCUUCCAAGCAUUCGUAGUGGGUUCGACUCCCGCACAGCGCA
rnacentral:tRNA from 3 species